CGAGUGAGCCGCAGAAUUUAACUGCGGGUGUAAGAAUUAGCAGUUCUUAUUGUUCUGUAACCUCUCUC
rnacentral:tRNA from 1 species